rnacentral:snoRNA from 1 species
GGGGUGUGCUCAGGGCAGGUGGCCUGAAGAAUGGCUUCUCUGUUUACAACACACCCAGCAGGAAUUUAGGGUCACUGUGACAAGGGAUGCGAAACUGGUGACUUCCCUGGAGCAAAUGCACACCAUAC